CGCUCAUCCAGAGGGGCAGAGGGAUCGGCCCGAAGAAGCCCCGGCAACCCGUCGUUCAGCGCGCGUCCACCGUGCGCCGGCGAUCACGGUGCCAAUUCCGACCCGCGACGCGUGGGAAAGAUGAGGA
rnacentral:ncRNA from 2 species